rnacentral:rRNA from 1 species
GAUAAAAUUAUUUUAUUAUUUUUUAAAGUUUAUUUAUUUUUAAAAAAAGAAAUUAUUAUUUUAUUAAUUUUAAGAAAAAAUUAUUAUUAAUUAUAGAUUAUAGUAUUGUGAAAGAAAGUUUAUUAUUAAUUAAAAAGAAAAAUUUAAUUUUUGUACCUUGUGCAUCAGGGUUGAUUAAAAAAUAAUUAAAUAUUUAAUAUUCUCGAAUUUAAAAGAGCUAAUUAAUUAUAAAUUUUAUUGUAAAAUAAAUAUUUAAAAUUUUUAAUUAGAAAUGAAACGUUAUUCGUUUUUAAAUUUAUCUAGUUUUUAAAUAAAUAAAUUUAAUUUAGUUAUUUUAAGUUAAAAUAUUAAUUUUUUAAUUUUUUAUUUAAAAUAAGUAAUUUUUUUAGGGAUUAGCUUAAAAAAAUAAUUUUAUAAUAAUUUAAAGUAAAAAAUAAAUUAUAGGAUUAUAAUUUUCUAUAAAUAAUAAAAUGUUAUAAUUAAUUAUUUGUUUAAUAUUAUUUUUAUUUUAUUUAAAUUUUUUAUUUAAAUGUAAGUUUUAAUUUAAUAAAUUUUGUAAUAAUGAUUAAAUUAGUAUAAAUUAAUGUAAAAUUAAUUUUUAGUAUUAAAGGUUAAUUUAAGGAACUCGGCAAAUUUAUUUUUCACCUGUUUAUUAAAAACAUGGCCUUUUGAUUAUAAUUUAAGGUCUAAUCUGCCCACUGAAGUUUUAAAUGGCCGCGGUAUUUUGACCGUGCAAAGGUAGCAUAAUAAUUAGUUUCUUAAUUAGAAGCUGGAAUGAAAGAUUGAAUGAGAAAAUAACUGUCUCAAGUUAAAUUUUUUAGAAUUUUAUUUUUAAGUUAAAAAGCUUAAAUAUAUUUAAAAGACGAGAAGACCCUAUAGAGUUUUAUUUAAUUUCAAUUUAAAAAAAUAUAAAUUUUAAUAUUUUUUAAAAUGUGGUUAAAUUUUGUUGGGGAGAUAGAAAAAUUAAAUAAACUUUUUUUAUAUAAUUACAUUGAUUGAUGAGUAAUUGAUCCAUAAUUUAUGAUUAAAAGAUAAAAUUACCUUAGGGAUAACAGCGUAAUUUUUUUUGAGAGUUCUUAUCGAAAAAAGAGAUUGCGA